UAGGGAAUUUUCCACAAUGGGCGAAAGCCUGAUGGAGCAACGCCGCGUGUGUGAAGAAGGCCUUCGGGUUGUAAAACACUGUUGUAAGGGAAGAACGGGUGAGAGAGGAAAUGCUCUUGCUAUGACGGUACCUUACCAGAAAGCCACGGCUAACUACGUGCCAGCAGCCGCGGUAAUACGUAGGUGGCAAGCGUUAUCCGGAAUUAUUGGGCGUAAAGGGCGUGUAGGCGGUGCUUUAAGUCUGACGUGAAAGCCAACGGCUCAACCGUUGAAAUGCGUUGGAAACUGGAGCACUUGAGUGUCGGAGAGGAAAGCGGAAUUCCUAGUGUAGCGGUGAAAUGCGUAGAUAUUAGGAGGAACACCAGUGGCGAAGGCGGCUUUCUGGACGACAACUGACGCUGAGGCGCGAAAGCGUGGGGAGCAAACA
rnacentral:rRNA from 1 species